ensembl:lncRNA
GUGACAGAAGGACUCCGUCAUGCUCAGAUCCAGCGGUGUGGGAUUUCGUAUCCGUUCCCCAGUCACCAUGGAGGAGCGGAGGGGUAGACUCCGGAACUUAACCACCCUUCGUCAAAGUGGGCGUGAGGUGGGUGAUCUGGCUCAAGCGUUUUGGACUAUGGCGGUAGGGCUGGGGUAUAACGAUGAGGCACUAAAGGAUUUUUUUAAUGACUGCCUGGAUGACCCUUUGCCUCGGUGGGAGAUGAAGGGGCUGGAGAUCCUAAACUUUUGGGGGUUCACCAAUUACCUGCGCCAUCGUGCUCAGUGGGAUGCAGUAACCACACCUGAGUCUCCAGACAAGACUGCCGCCAGCCCAGCGCCACAGCACAAGAGGGCCGCCAGUCCAGCGCCACAGCACAAGAUGGCCGCCAGCCCAACACCACAGCACAAGAUGGCCGCCAGCCCAGAACCAUUGCACAAGAUGGCCGAAUCUACACCUGUGUUGCCAGACAAGAUGGCUGACUCAACGCCUGAGUCUCCCGUCAAGGUGCCACCGACUCGCCAUCAUAGAGGGCGGAGGAGGAGGAGACAGGCGUCUACCGUUCCUCAAAGCAUGGAGGACGUUCCCGAGCAGGCCGCUGCCAUCCAGGAGGACGUUCCCGAGCAGGCCGCUGCCGUCCAGGAGGACGUUCCUGAGCAGUCUGCUGCCGUCCCUGAGGCGGUGCCCGAGGCGGUGCCCGAUACUGUUCCCGAUGCCGAGGCGGUGCCCGAUGUUGUUCCCGAUGCCGAGGCGGUGCCCGAUGCUGUGCCCGAUGCCGAGGCGGUGCCCGAGGCCGUUCCAGAGGUCGAGGCGGUGCCCGAUGCCGUUCCGGAGGUCGAGGCGGUGCCCGAUGCCGAGGCGGUGCCCGAGGCUGUUCCGGAGGUCGAGGCGGUGCCCGAGAUGGUUCCGGAGGCCGAGGCGGUUCCGGAGGCCGUGCCGGAGGUCGAGAUGGUUCCUGAGGCCGAGGCGGUGGCCGAUGUUGUUCCAGAGACCGAGGCGGUGCCCGAUGCCGAACCGGGGCCUGAUGCUGUUCCGGAGGUCGAGGCGGUGCCCGAUGCCGAGGCGGUGCCCGAUGUUGUUCCCGAUGCCGAGGCAGUGACCGAUGCUGUUCCGGAGGCCGAGGCGGUGUCCGAGGCGGUGCCCGAGAUGGUUCCGGAGGCCGAGGCGGUUCCGGAGGCCGAGGCGGUGCCCGAUGCUGUUCCGGAGGCCGAGGCAGUGCCCGAUGCGCAGGCCGAGGCGAUGCCCAUGUCCAGGGCCGUUCCCGAGGCGAUGUCCUUGUCCCAUGCCGUUCCUGAGGCCGCUCCCAAGGCGGUGCCCGAGCCCGAGGUCGUGCCCGAGGUCGUUCCCGAGGCGGUGCCCGAACCCGAGGUCGUUCCCGAGGCGAUACCCGUGUCCAAUGCCGUGACCUGGCCAUCACCACAGUCUGCUCCUCACUGGCUCCCCGAAUGGCAGGUUCCGUUCUGGCCACUCAAAUGGCGAGUUCCUCCCUGGCCGUCUGCACAACUAGAAUGGACUGAUCCUCCGUGGCCACCUGAACUGCCUGGUCCCUCGUGGUUCCCUGAACUUUCGGGUCCACCCUGGC